rnacentral:rRNA from 1 species
UACGUAGGGAGCAAGCGUUAUCCGGAUUUAUUGGGUGUAAAGGGUGCGUAGACGGGAGAAUAAGUUAGCUGUGAAAUCCCUCUGCUUAACAGAGGAACUGCAACUAAAACUGUUUUUCUUGAGUACUGGAGAGGAAAGUGGAAUUCAUAGUGUAGCGGUGAAAUGCGUAGAUAUUAGGAGGAACACCAGUGGCGAAGGCGACUUUCUGGACAGAAACUGACGUUGAGGCACGGAAGUGUGGGGAGCAAAC